rnacentral:rRNA from 1 species
GACGAGCGCUGGCGGCGUGCUUAACACAUGCAAGUCGAACGGAAAGGCCCUGCUUUUGUCGGGUGCUCGAGUGGCGAACGGGUGAGUAACACGUGAGUAACCUGCCCUUGAAUUUGGGAUAAAUUCAGGAAACUGGGGCUAAUACCGGAUAGGAGCUCCUGCUGCAUGGUGGGGGUUGGAAAGUUUCGGCGGUUGGGGAUGGCCUCGCGGCUUAUCAGCUUGUUGGUGGGGUAGUGGCUUACCAAGGCAUUGACGGGUAGCCGGCCUGCGAGGUUGACCGGCCACAUUGGUACUGAGAGACGGCGCAGACGCCUACGGGAGGCAGCGGUGGGAAAUAUUGCACAAUGGGCGGAAGCCUGAGGCAGCGGCGCCGCGUGCGGGAUGACGGGCUUCGGGUUGUGAACAGCUUUCGCCUGAGACGAAGCGUGAGUGACGGUAAUGGGUAAAGAAGCACCGGCUAACUACGUG